ACUCCACUGGGAGAGGCCCCUGCUGUCCCAAACCACACGGCCGGCGCAUGCGCAGAGCGGUGGGUCUCCCCCACAUUGAGCUGCUGAACUCUCGGAAGUUUACCAAGUUGUUGCAGUGAUUUAGCCCGACAGGCUAGCAGCAGAAAACACGGUCCCAUCGCACAAAACUUGGUUUCGACGAGGAAAAGAGGAAAGAUGGAGGAUCUGCUGGAGUAGCAGCGGGCUAACGCUAGCUGGUGGUCGGUUUACUCUGCUCGGUUACAACGUAGUGGGUGUCCGGAAAGUUUGGAGGCUGUUAAUCCCACACACUGACGAUAGCUGCUGUUCAUGUUUACAGAUCAACAAAAGCAUGAGAGUCCCUCAGGCUCCGAGGAUGGGACCAGGGCUACAGGAGGCAGGAUCUAGACGUCA
rnacentral:lncRNA from 1 species